CCCUCUCCUCCCUGCUCCCUCUCUCUCAACCCUAAUUUUUUUCCUCCAAUCCCCCAUAGCCGCCUCCCCGUCCAAAGAGACUGGGCGGCUCCCAAGCAGGGGAUCCGGCAACACUGGCUUCUCCUCUUCUACGCCACCGUUGUCCACCCCUCUUCAUCUUAUGAGGGCAGGAGGUGAGCUUCUCCGGUGGCGGCGGCGACCUGCAGCCGAAGGGCGACGGCGGCGGUGCUCGACUCAAUCUACAGGAGAGAGAGACAGAGGAUGAGAGGGAGAGAGAGAAGGAAGGAGAGGAGGAUAAAGAGAGAGGAAAUAGGAGAGGGAGGUGCGGCGGCGGACAGGAGAGGGUGGGUGGAAGGACGCCGCCGGCUCGUCGUUGUUCACACCGUGUUGGACAAAGAGGAGAGGGAUGUGCGGCGGCAGAUGGGAGAGGGUCACCGGAAGGAGCACCGCUGGCUCGUCAUCGUUCACACCGCACUGGGCCAGUGAUGCCUCUGUAUAGCCCUCACGCCCGCAGAGUACAGAAGUGGUUGCCCCUGAGGUCUCCUCCUGCUCAGCUUAUUCAUUGAGUUUGCAGAUAGAGGAUGUGAUUCCAGCAAGACAGAGAUGUGGCGAUGACAAGUGAGAUUUAUAUAAGGAGUAUUAGCAUAUGCUCACAUGAUCACUGGAAGCUUAUAAAGGUAUCCUCAAUGAUUGUUGAUUUCUUAUCGACACAUAAUUGAAUUAUAAUUAUAGACAGUAAGAGUAGUUGUCUUUUCAUUUGUUAGAAAACAUAGUGUACCUUUAUAAUCGUAGCUAUAUGCAAUGAUCCAUGAUGUCUCCAGCGCGGUAUGAACGGCUCGUCGUCGUUCACACCGCGCUGGAGAAAGAGGAGAGGGAUGUGCGUCGGCAGAUGGGAGGGGGUCACCGGAAGGAGCGCCGCUGGCUCGUCAUCGUUCACACCGCACUGGGCCAGAGAUGCCUCUGUACAGCCCUCACGUCCGCAGAGUACAGAAGUGGUUGCCCCUAAGGUCUCCUCCUGCUCGGCUUAUUCAUUGAGGUAAGAUUUUGAUUGUCUUAAUUUGUCGCUUCAGUUCCACAUUAACCAUGAAUUGUUGAGUGUAAAUUCUCAUAUCCCGUUUAGUUCAUGUGUAUAAAUCAAGUGGGUUGAAGUGUGCCGUGAAUUUCCUGAAUAAGUUCACUUGCAUGGUGUGGAUUGUUGAGUUUGCUUGGUUAACGGAAUGUCAUGCCUGUGCAAAUCAGCAGGGGGAAGGUCCACAGUGAAACCUUCAGGAGGGAUUUGAUGUUGCUAUUGUUUCAGUUUGCAGAUAGAGGAUGUGAUUCCAGCAAGACAUAGAUGUGGCGAUGACAAGUGAAAUUUAUCUUAAGGAGUAUUAGCAUAUGCUCACAGGAUCACUGGAAGCUUAUUAAGGUGGAAAUUAGCAAGCAAGCUACAGUCGGUGCAAGGAUGUCCAAGUUUACUUAUUACUUUACGAAGAUGAUGAUUCCUGCAUGUUGAUUGUGCUUCAAGGUAGAAGAGGAUGGGAGGAGGGGACGCGCGCUCUAUAUUUUAUUAUGCACACCUUUCUAAACUAUACUUGUCUUCUUAACACAUGUUCAUUGUCCAGUAGAAGCUGUAGAUUUCAGCGUACAAUACUUUCCAAAACCGCAGAAGGUGUUAUUAAUAUGGGGAGAAGAGCAGUCCAAAUGGCGGAUGGAGUAUGUGACCUGUUGAUGUUAGUUUCAUUUCAGAAGGAACAAAUUUUCUAUAAUUUGAGUGUAUGCUGACGUGUUAAAGUCAAUCAUUUGGAUUCCCAACUCGACCAUUGUGUGUGUUCUUUAUUUUAUUGUGCAUUGAUAAAAUGUUUCAGUGCCCGUGUGCACCAAGUUGAAUUU